GAGGGCCGGGAGUUGGAAAUCCGAAAAUUGACAGCUGAGCUCGUUUCCGCAGAGGAAUCCUGGGAUCCCCACGCCGGGGACCACGAUAAAAAACUAGGUGGGUUCCCGCCCCCUCUGGGCACCUUUGGGUGCUUGGGAGGGGGUGGGAGGAGGGGGG